rnacentral:ncRNA from 2 species
UUCUUAUUCAGAGAAGCUGAGGGAUCUGGUCCGUCGAAGCUUCAGCAACCGGCCUGUUUAGGUGAGGUGCUACCUCCAGCAAGUGGGAUGAAUGUCCACUUGAAAGAUAAGAA